rnacentral:rRNA from 1 species
AACGCUGGCGGCGUGCCUAACACAUGCAAGUCGAACGAGAAAGCGGGGGCAACCCCGUGAGUACAGUGGCGACCGGGUGAGUAACACGUGACUAACCUACCCUCAAGUGGGGAAUAACCUCGGGAAACCGGGGCUAAUACCGCAUAACAUCGUGAUCGUAAAGGUCAUGAUCAAAGCAGCAAUGCGCUGGAGGAGGGGGUCGCGGCUGAUUAGCUAGUUGGUGAGGUAACGGCUCACCAAGGCAAUGAUCAGUAUCCGGUCUGAGAGGGCGCACGGACACACUGGAACUGAAACACGGUCCAGACUCCUACGGGAGGCAGCAGUGGGGAAUUUUGCGCAAUGAGGGAAACCCUGACGCAGCAACGCCGCGUGGAGGAUGAAGUCCCUUGGGACGUAAACUCCUUUCGAACGGGACGAUUAUGACGGUACCGUAUGAAGAAGCCCCGGCUAACUUCGUGCCAGCAGCCGCGGUAAUACGAGGGGGGCAAGCGUUGUUCGGAAUUAUUGGGCGUAAAGGGCGCGUAGGCGGCGCGGUAUGUCUCUUGUGAAAUCUCCAGGCUCAACUUGGAGUCUGCAAGGGAAACUGCCGUGCUUGAGUACU